rnacentral:rRNA from 1 species
UGGGGAAUUUCCCGCAAUGGGCGAAAGCCUGACGGAGCAAUGCCGCGUGGAGGUGGAGGGCCUACGGGUCGUCAACUUCUUUUCUCGGAGAAGAAACAAUGACGGUAUCUGAGGAAUAAGCAUCGGCUAACUCUGUGCUAG